AGACUAGGUGACCUGAGAGUCCCUUUCAGCUCUACUUCUGUAAUUGUGGGUGGUAAAGCUGGACCUGGAACUCAAUUCUGACUCACAGUGAGGAAUAUUUCUAUCAUUUUUUCUUCCUCUGUAAAAAUAAGAUAUCAAGAGUCAAGUUCUUAGGUGGAGAUUUGCAAAGGAUUUGUAAUGCCUUUAGCAUAGGAAAUUCUUUCCACUUACCGGCUGUAUGACCCUAGGCAAGUCACUUGGCAGUGAGAUGGCCGAAUGGAUAGUGGAGUCAGGAAGACCUGAAUUCAACUUCUGCCUCAGAUAUUCACAAGUUAUGUGAUUUGGGGCCAAUUCAACCUUUAUCUACCUCAGUUCACUCAACGGUAAACUGAGGAUAAUAAAAGCACCUAUUUCCCAUGGUUAUGGUGAGGAUCAAAGAAGAUAAUAUUUUUUUAUGGGUCAAUAUAUAUACAACUUUUAUUUUUUUAUUUUUUGAAAGCUUUUUUAUUUUCAAAACAUAUAAUUUUUCAACACUGACCCUUGCACAGCCCCUCCUUCCCCCCCACUCCCUCCCCAAAUGACAAGCAUUCCAAUAUAUAUUAUAUAUGUUAAAAUAUAUGUUAAAUCCAAUCUAUGUAAACAUUUAUACAUUUAUCUUACUGCAUAAGCAAAAUCAGAUCAAAAAAGGAAAGAAAAUGAGUAAGAAAACAAAAUGCAAGGGAACAAUAACUAAAAGAAUGAGAAUGUUAUGUUGUGAUCCCACAGUUCUUUCUGAGUGUAGAUGGCUCUCUUCAUCACAAGAUCAUUGGAACUAGCCUCAUUCAGAUUUUAAAGUGCUUAGCAUAGUGGUCUGCAGGUAGUAGGUAUUUUUAAUUGCUUGUCCCUUUCCCUUCCACCUCACUUCUCCAUCCUUCAGUUUCCUCACCUAUUAAAGUUAGAGGCUAAAGCAGAUAAUUUCUAAAGUCCCUUCCAGGUCAAAAAAUUCUAGAUACUAAAAUGAAAUAGUGGGAAGAUAAAAUGUUAACUGUUAAUCCAUAGGUAGAGAGAUACAAGGAAAUAUAUAAAUUAUAUAAACAUGUAAAUAUAUAAAUUUAGGAGGAACGCACAUCAAGAAUUACCAUUAAAUUAGGUAUGACAAGACUUAAUACUUUAUUUAAAGCCCAAUAUUUAAAUAAGUCAGUGGUACAGUGGAAGCCAGGCUAAAACCGAGUUCAAAAUUUGCCCCCAACAGUGACUUAAUUGGGUGAUCAUGAGUAGAUAGCUUAAUUUCUUUCCAUUAGUUUUCAAAAUGGUGAUGAAAAUAUGAGGAUCAAAUGAGAUAACAUAUAUACAAUGCUUUGCAAAACUUAAAUCAUUGUAUAAAUGUUAGCUCUUGUUAUCUAAUAAUUAUUAAUGAAUUAAGAAGUUCCAACACAUUUAAGAGGAAGGAUUCACUACUUUGUGACAGUUGAACUUCAACACUUGUGAGGUCUCUUCCAUUUCUCUCUUUUCUAUGCAAUUCAUAGGACAAAUACAGUGCUCUUCUGAUGGUAAAAAAAAAAAAAAAAAUUGUGCUAACAUAGAACCAAUAUUGACAUAUGCAGCUCAGAAAAUGAAGGGUUUUUUAAAACAAUUUUAUAAACAAUUUAGCAAUUUAUUUUUAAAAAAAAACACUUUAGCAAUGUAUUCAGUGUGUUUCAAAUGUCUUUAAGUAACCAAAAAGGUGGUUUGGGGAACAAAAAAAAAAGGCAUUGGUUGGGAGUAUCCAUGUAAUAUAAAUAUUAAAAUGAUAACUUAAUUUUCUUCUCUAGAAAUGGCAGUUAGAAAUGCAAAUCUUUCCAUUCUCUCUGGGAUUUAAAUUUCUACUUGUCACAGACUUAGAAAUCCUAUUGUGCUCAGUAAUUCCUGAGGAAGGUAGUCUAAAUUAUGACCCUCUUAUCCAUGAAGAGGCAAACCCAAUGGGAAUACUAAAAAGCCUGCCUUUUUAUUUCAAUGUGAUACUUAAUCUUCUAUUACUCUACUAACUGCACAAACCACCCACUUAAUUAACCUGUUUUUGAAUUAUUUAUUAUCUUCCUACUGAGAGGGUGAAAAAGAAUCUUUCUGGUUGUCUAUUUUGCUUCAGAUAGAAAGUUCAGCAAACUGAAAGAUUUGAAAGUGUUUUCUUCAGCACCUGCCCCCUUCUGGACAUGAGGGAAAGGGAACCUAGAAAUAGCUUUUUUUCCCCUGAAAUAAGAGUAUUUAAUGUUUUCAUGCAAAUAACUUCAAUAAUUCAUAAGGGAACAGUUUCUUUGAAAAUCAUUAUCAACAAAGAACUUUUGCAUUUAUCUAGCAACCUCCUUUUUAGUUGAGUGAAAAAAAUCAGCAAAAUUAUUUUCUAUUAUGAUCCUAAAUGUCUAUAUCUUUUAUCCCCCAAAAUAAGAAUCUACAUUCACUUGGAAGAAGUUUCACUGGUUUCCAUAAGUUCUAUUGCAAAUAGUAAGUCAAAAAAAAAUUGGAUUUGAAGUCAGAAGACCUCAACUAAUCUCUGUGAGCCUCAGUUUCCUAAUUUUCAAAGUAAUUAUCAUAAUCUUUUCCCAGGCUUCUUUGAGGUAAGGAUCAAAACAGCAAAAUGGAAAGUAAUAAAUGGAAGGGCAGAGAAUGUCUGUAGAACAGCCUUUUGAAAUUCUCAUCUCACCAUCUAUAAAUGGGAUAACUUGGUUUUAAGGGUAGCCAGGACAUCCUUUUAACUUCAAAAUAUCUUCUAUCCUUCCUUCUGCUUAUGUUGUAUUUACAUCUCUUGUAACAGUUUUUAGUGGUUUGCAAAAUGUCUCCCUUUUCUGAACUUGUUAAUUCCUUGAGAAAAGAGACUGAUUUUUGUCUUUCUUCUGUAUCCCUGGCACUCUGGAAUAAGUAUUUAAUAAAUGUUUCUGUUAUAAAUGUUUGCUACCUAUGACCCUGGACAACUUACUUAAACUCCUUAACCCUCCUUUCCCCCUCUGUAAAAGAAAGGAGUUAGGAUAAAUGGCUUCUGAGAGAUACCUUUUAACUCUAGAUCUACAAUUCUAUGCCCAUCAAAAGACAUCUUUACCUUCCAACUCUCAUCUAAGGUAGUGCAACAGAAAGAAAAUAGAAGACCAGGAGUUUAUUGUCUCCCCUUGAUAGUAACCACUUGUGUGACUUGGAUCAGACUACUUAAUUUUCCUGGCCUCAAUUUCCUUAUCUGUAAAAUAAAAUGACUAAAUGGCCUCCAACGUACUAACUCAUAAAACUAUGAUUCUUUGCCCAUCAGAGUUCUCUGACAGUUCAGGUGUUCCUGGUCCUGAAACCUUUCUUUGCCUCCCUCUCAGCAACUUGCUUUACUAAUCCCCAGAUAUCUGUCAUAUGUAAAUUGCUUUUUCCAGAUUGCUCCAACCCACCUCAAUGCUUCAUAUCCUUCUUCUGACAAGAGCAACUCUUUUCGUACCCUUCCUGUUCACAGUCCCCUAGUAGAAGCUGCUGUAGCUGAACUCUGUGAUCUUUAGUUCUAUUUUAAGAGAAGCUCUAGCUCUCUCUCUCUCACUCUAGAAACCACUUAUACAAAACACCCAGCAUCUCACCCACCCUGCAAUUUUCCUUGUGCCUCCAUCUCCCACUGUCUGCUUGCAGUAAAACAUAUCACAAGUAUGCCACACAGUAAAUUUGUUUCCCCAGGGUUUAUUCCCUUGGGAAGACAAGCCAGAGAAUAACAGCUAAAAGGGACCUUGGAGGUCAUGUAAUUCAGCCCUUUGAUAAGAAUAUUCUCUACAAGUUGGACAAGUAGUAGCCCAAUCCGUUUGAACACCUUUAGUAAUGGCAAACUCAUUACCUUCCAAGGUAGUCCAUUCCAUUAUACCAUUAAUUCUGAUCUUUGGUCAUUUCUUUUAUAAACUAAUAAUGCCUCUUUGGCAACUUCCCCCCAGUGUUCCUGGUUCUGUUCUUUGGGGUCCUCUAUUGGGAAAUUCCAACCACUUUUCUGACACAUCUUAGGAGUACAAGAAAAUGGUGAAAAGUUCCCAACAUCUACCCUCCCUGGGACCAGGAUGGCUCAUUUUCCUUCAUGUAUACAUUACUGUUCUCACUUAUACUGACUGAUGCAUACAAACCUCUGGGUAUUAGCCCUUCCCUGUCACAAAAAUGCAAACACUUUUCGUUCUAUUUUGCUGAUAAGGAAAUAAUUCCCAGGGAGUUUCAGUUAUUGGCAGGGCCCUUGGAGCAAAGAGAACAGGAUUACAGCUCAAGGUCAGGGUUUCCAUUCUAUCUCCUUUCUCUGGCUGAGCCUGGAGCUUAUUCAUUGAAACCUGUAGUCACAUAUGAAGAGAGCACUCUUUCUAUGGGAAGAAGCUCUUUCUUCCCAAUGCUUGUUCAUUUUCACCCCCUAUCUCCUUUCCUUCCCUAUCCCCCACAUUUACACCAUCAAAUGGCCGAUUUAGUCAUAUCCAGAGCUGUCUGACCAGUUCCCGGGACUCCCUUCUGGAGCCAUCCAGGAAGGGAGGAAACCCUGGGAGGAGAGGCAGGGAAAUAUGAGCUGAACUGGAUUCCUCAGCUCACCUCUGCGAGGAAGAGAAAGAGAUGCUAAAGGCUUUCAUGGAUUAGCAGUCGGCGAGUCCCGGACUGGGGAAUGGUUUCGACCCCAUAUGCAAUCGGGGAACGAUUUUAAGCUCUGGCAAUCAAAAGGUUCCUCCCAACAGGAAGGAAAUAAUCUCUCCUCCCCUUCUGCCUUUCUCUGGCCCCUUUCUUUCACCUCUUCCCGGAUUCCCUUUUGUCUCUCUUUUCUCUAUAUCCUACCAUUUCUCCCUUUCUCUCCUCCCCUUCCCCCUCUCCCCUCCCCAUCGUUUUUGUAACUCCCACUUUUUCAAUCCUCUCCCUCAUAGCAGUGAAUCGAUCUUCCUUUCUCCUCUUCUGGUUUGUCUUUCCCCCUCUCUCUUCACCUCCCUGCUUCCUCCUGCCAACCGCUCCCUUCACCGCUUUUCACUUUGUCUCCAAUUAUGUCUAAAAGCAACCCACCACAGAUGCUGACAUUUUAAAUGUUUAGUUGUUAUAGUUACUUGACUAAUUGCCGGGCCCGACGGUGGCGUUUCUCCUUCUGCCCAAAACACACACACACACACACACACACACACACACACACACACAUAUAUCACACGGAGGUGGGGGGGGGGGGCUGGAUAGGUGGGCAGUAGCAUUUCCUGCGAGCAUCCCCAGGAGGCAUGACCAACCCCACAGACCAACCCAGGAAAGUUUGGGUGGACGAUGCUCCCAGGAAGCUCUAGGGCCUUGGCAAGGCGAGCAGAAGCACUCCCCUGCCUUCCGCAGCUAAGCCACUGUCUCAGGUGGCGUCAACUCCCAUACCUGCCAACUCUCAAGACUGGUUAUUGAUUGCUACGAAGGCGUCAGUAGCGAGAGGCAGUGGAGUGACUAACCCCAGAGCACCACUCGCCAUUCAACGUUUGCAAAAAAAGAUCCUAUAGGACAUUAUUACAGGGGAGUGGGGACGGUAAAGGGAGGGAUGUGAGGAAUGAGUCCUGGCCCAUGAGAAGAGUUAGAAACUGCUAGCGGGUACUCACGUGCCAGAUGGCGAAGAAGAUGAGCGCGGCGCACAGGACCAGAGACAGCAUGUAGCAAAAAGCAGCGAAAGUGAAGGCCAUGGCGAAGAGAUCACCUGGUAGAGGUGCCCCCCUUUUUGCAAGCACACAGAAAGCCCACAGGAGAUCCAAGUCCCUCUCCCUCAAAAUCUGCCCCAAAACGGUAAGAUAGCCAAACCUUCACUCUCCCACAAGGCUAAUUAGAACAAGGAGGCACCUCACUUGGGGAAAGAAUGGGGACUGGGGGAAGGGGCUAGGAUACAGGAGCUCCCCCAGGCUCUAACGAAUAGACUCCAAACCCAAAAAUCUAAGGCAAAGAAAGGAGGUCCGAAUAUAAGAGCCCCGGAAGGGACCUUCCUCAAAUCCUAGGAGAACCUGGAAUGGCAGGGAUACAAGCGCAGGUUCACUCCUGUGAGCAGUCAAUUAGAGUCCGGGGAGAGGGGAUAAUAGUACGAGAAAUAAACUUCACGGACUAAAAAGCAGAGAAACCCCCAGGAAAACAAGGGAAAUGUAAUCCCAGAGGAAGCCCGUGUUCACCCUGCCUUAAUCCAGGUGCGCCCCGGGACUCUGGACAGCUUUGGCACUUCCCAGGCGCACGCGAGAAACGGCGGCGCAGUGCCCGGCACAACCCGGCUCCACUGCGUUAAGGGACCCACUAUCUCAGCUCCGGCCACAGGUUCUUCCCCGGGACGGGAGGUCUUCUGGGUUGUGGAAAGGAGAAACGAAAACAAAUCGUGUCUUCCUGGAGCUCAGCCCUCACGCCGCGGCUCCCUCCUCGUGGAUGCCGUGCACUCUGGAGGCGCCGCAGCCCCGGAAAGUCUCCUCUAGAAUGCCCGUGGCAUCCCCGGAAGGCUGGAGAUGGAAGCGAAAAUAAGCCAGCUCCGACCCACCAAAGCUCGGCUCAUCAGACCGCAGUCCCCUGCGGCCGUACUGGAGCACCAAACAAGUCCAGUUCCACCUGCUGCUGCUGCUCCCGCCGCUGUGAUUCCCGGGAGAGAAGGGGAGGGAUGUCCCGGGAUCCCUCCUUCCCUGCGCCCCACCUCGCACCUCCGCCGCACGCUCCUUCGGUUGCGUUGGGCGGGGAGAGACUGGAGCCACUUGAGCAGCCAGAGGUGAGGCGCCGCUGCCGCCGCUGCAGCAGUUGCACGCUCAGCCAGUUCGAAACUAGACGUUGCCGGGAGCCCCAGCACGUUGGUGUGCGGCGGGCGGCGGCCGUGGUGGCAACACGGCCGAGGGGAG
ensembl:lncRNA